rnacentral:lncRNA from 1 species
CAUCUUCAUCCUUAGAUCAUUAACCCUAGCCCCAAAAUUAUACCCAAUCACAUUUGUUAAAGCUUUACUUUGGAAGGAGCAAGUAUCUUCAAGGUUGUUUGGUUUCUAAUUGAAAUUUGGUGAUUUUAAAAAAAUUAAAAGUGGAAGAAGGAAAGGUUGGAGAAGUGAGAAUAGGGGUAUACUGACCGAGAGAGAGAAAUACACAGGGAGAGAGAAAGAAUGUAGUGAAAUGGGUG